CCAUCUGGAAGAAUCUGGAGACAGGUGCUGCAUGGCUGUCGUCAGCUCGUGUCGUGAGAUGUUGGGUUAAGUCCCGCAACGAGCGCAACCCUGCCUUUAGUUGCCAGCAGUUCGGCUGGGCACUCUAAAGGGACUGCCGGUGUUAAACCGGAGGAAGGUGGGGAUGACGUCAAGUCCUCAUGGCCUUUAUGACCAGGGCUACACACGUACUACAAUGGCCGAUACAAAGGGCAGCGACACUGCGAGGUGAAGCCAAUCCCGUAAAAUCGGUCUCAGUCCGGAUUGGAGUCUGCAACUCGACUCCAUGAAGUUGGAAUCGCUAGUAAUCGUGGAUCAGCAUGCCACGGUGAAUACGUUCCCGGGCCUU
rnacentral:rRNA from 1 species